rnacentral:rRNA from 1 species
GAUGAACGCUGGCGGCGUGCCUAAUACAUGCAAGUCGAGCGAACAGACGAGGAGCUUGCUCCUUCGACGUUAGCGGCGGACGGGUGAGUAACACGUAGGUAACCUACUUAUAAGACUGGGAUAACUUCGGGAAACCGGAGCUAAUACCGGAUAAUAUUUCGAACCGCAUGGUUCGAUAGUGAAAGAUGGCUUUGCUAUCACUUAUAGAUGGACCUGCGCCGUAUUAGCUAGUUGGUAAGGUAACGGCUUACCAAGGCAACGAUACGUAGCCGACCUGAGAGGGUGAUCGGCCACACUGGAACUGAGACACGGUCCAGACUCCUACGGGAGGCAGCAGUAGGGAAUCUUCCGCAAUGGGCGAAAGCCUGACGGAGCAACGCCGCGUGAGUGAUGAAGGUCUUCGGAUCGUAAAACUCUGUUAUUAGGGAAGAACAAUCGUGUAAGUAACUGUGCACGUCUUGACGGUACCUAAUCAGAAAGCCACGGCUAACUACGUG